rnacentral:misc_RNA from 1 species
AAAGUCGUAACAAGGUUUCCGUAGGUGAACCUGCGGAAGGAUCAUUAUCACGUUAACACGUCCAACAACCGCGAACUGUUCUUUCCUGGAGAAAUGCAGGCGUGAUCGUUUAGAAGGAGUGACCCUCCGGGGUCACUCUGGAAGCUCUUUGGGCCCUUUGUGGCGGGUUUCGGCUUUCCUGCGAUCCUGGUCUUCGGACCGCUGCAUCCUCCGGGCGUUUUCUUGCAAACCCGUGGCCCCCAAACCACUUUAACCAAAUGUGUUAUUUUAAUGACUGACCCGUUCUUACUUUGCGAGCGAUCGCGAAGACGAACAAUUAUUUAAAUUCGUACAACUCUUAGCAACGGAUACCUUGGCUCUC